CUUGCCCACAGCCACAGAGAGAAGGAGGGCAACGAGGCCGGCAGACCAGCCCCCCAGCAUUGACCUGGAUGCCUGCCACAGCCUCCUCCCUGGUCUCCGGCCUCCCACCUCUGCUCCUCGGUCUCCUCUACCCAGCCAGUAACUGCAGAGAGCACUAAAGCACAGUCCUGGCAUCUCACCCCCUUAACCCUGGCCACGGCUUCCCAGUGCCUCCAAGAUAAAGCACCAACACCUGAGGACAGCAGCUUGUUUUGAGAGUCCCCUCCAUUGAAACACGCACAUCUAAUUUGUCCUUCAGUUCGCUGGACUCCACGCU
rnacentral:lncRNA from 1 species